AUUGAACGCUGGCGGCAGGCCUAACACAUGCAAGUCGAACGAGUGGCGGACGGGUGAGUAGUUUCUGGGAAACUGCCUGACGGAGGGGGAUAACUACUGGAAACGGUAGCUAAUACUGCAUACCAUCAGAUGUGCCCAGAUGGGAUUAGCUAGUUGGUGGGGUAACGGCUCACCAAGGCGACGCUCCCUAGCUGGUCUGAGAGGAUGACCAGCCACACUGGAACUGAGACACGGUCCAGACUCCUACGGGAGGCAGCAGUAGGGAAUAUUGCACAAUGGGCGAAAGCCGGAUGCAGCCAUGCCGCGUGUGUGAAGAAGGCCUUCGGGUUGUAAAGCACUUUCAGCGGGGAGGCGUUAUCCACAGAAGAAGCAACGGCUAACUCCGUGCCAGCAGCCGCGGUAAUAC
rnacentral:rRNA from 1 species